UGGGGAAUUUUGGACAAUGGGCGAAAGCCUGAUCCAGCAAUGCCGCGUGUGUGAAGAAGGCCUUCGGGUUGUAAAGCACUUUUGUCCGGAAAGAAAUGGCUCUGGCUAAUACCUGGGGUCGAUGACGGUACCGGAAGAAUAAGGACCGGCUAACUACGUGCCAGCAGCCGCGGUAAUACGUAGGGUCCAAGCGUUAAUCGGAAUUACUGGGCGUAAAGCGUGCGCAGGCGGUUGUGCAAGACCGAUGUGAAAUCCCCGAGCUUAACUUGGGAAUUGCAUUGGUGACUGCACGGCUAGAGUGUGUCAGAGGGGGGUAGAAUUCCACGUGUAGCAGUGAAAUGCGUAGAGAUGUGGAGGAAUACCGAUGGCGAAGGCAGCCCCCUGGGAUAACACUGACGCUCAUGCACGAAAGCGUGGGGAGCAAACAGG
rnacentral:rRNA from 1 species